rnacentral:rRNA from 1 species
AUGGACCUACCAGCGCGUGGGCUAGCCAACUCGUCCUCCUUAGGGAGCAGCAAUAACAGGAGCAUAGGGGAUCUUAUUUGGAAGGCGGCUGUCCCGGAGAAGAUAAAAAUAUUUGCAUGGAGAGUCGCAACAAACACUCUAGCCACCAAGAAGAAUAAGUUUAGGCGUACACUGGAACUGGGUAGCACCUGUAACAUAUGUGGAAAUGCAGAAGAGGAGGAGUUCCAUAGUGUGGUGGAAUGCACGAAGAGCAAAGCCUUGAGAUCGGCUAUGAGAGCAGUAUGGCCCCUGCCGGAAGAAUCUGCAUUUAGGAACACCGGCUGUGAUUGGCUGCAGAUACUACUUGAUUCAUGCAAUGCUGAUAUGAGGAAUAAAGUUUUGCUGCUAGUGUGGAGAGCUUGGUUCUUACGAGAGAAUUGUGUGCAUGGGGAUGGGAAG